rnacentral:lncRNA from 1 species
AUAGUGAUGAAAUAAUUUUAUUUUUAAAAUAUUUAAUUUGUAAUUUUAAAAUUAAUAUUUAAAAUUUAAAAAUUUAACUUUAAACUUAAAUUUAAAAAUAUAAAUAUUAAUUUUAAGAUUACAAAUUAAACAUUUUAAAAUUUUCAAAUAUAAAAUAUCAAAUUUAAAAUUUAAAUAAUUAAAAUUUAAAUUUAUCAAUUUAAAAUUUAAAAUUUAAAAAUAUUAAUAUUAAUUUUAAGGUUAUAAAUUAUAAAUUUUUAAAAUUUAUAAUUUAAAAUUUAUAAUGUAAAAUUAAAUAUUU